rnacentral:rRNA from 1 species
UACAGAGGGUGCAAGCGUUGUUCGGAAUUACUGGGCGUAAAGAGUGUGUAGGCGGUGCUCUAAGUUCGGUGUGAAAUCUCCCGGCUUAACUGGGAGGGUGCGCCGGAAACUGGAGUGCUCGAGCGAGGGAGAGGAAAGCGGAAUUCCUGGUGUAGCGGUGAAAUGCGUAGAUAUCAGGAGGAACACCUGCGGUGUAGACGGCUUUCUGGACCAUUGCUGACGCUGAGACACGAAAGCGUGGGUAGCAAACAGG